UACAGGGGGGGCAAGCGUUGUUCGGAAUUACUGGGCGUAAAGGGUCUGUAGGUGGCCAACUAAGUCGGACGUGAAAUCCCUCAGCUUAACUGGGGAACUGCGUCUGAUACUGGAUGGCUUGAGUGUGGGAGAGGAAUGCGGAAUUCCAGGUGUAGCGGUGAAAUGCGUAGAUAUCUGGAGGAACACCGGUGGCGAAGGCGGCAUUCUGGACCAUAACUGACACUGAGAGACGAAAGCCAGGGGAGCAAACGGG
rnacentral:rRNA from 1 species